UGAGUGCGAGCGGCUACGGCCGCGAAGUGGGUGAUGUCAAGCUUCCAAGAAAAGCCCUAUACCCGUUAAGGCAUGAUGGCCUGUACCCGAAACCGACACAGGUGGGGUGGUAGAGAAUACCGAGGGGCGCGAGGUAACUCUCUCUAAGGAACUCGGCAAAAUGGCCCCGUAACUUCGGGAGAAGGGGUGCCACCGCAAGGUGGUCGCAGUGAAGAGGCCCAGGCGACUGUUUACCAAAAACACAGGUCUCCGCUAAGUCGCAAGACGAUGUAUGGGGGCUGACGCCUGCCCAGUGCCGGAAGGUUAAGGAAGCUGGUCAGCGCAAGCGAAGCUGGCGACUGAAGCCCCGGUGAACGGCGGCCGUAACUAUAACGGUCCUAAGGUAGCGAAAUUCCUUGUCGGGUAAGUUCCGACCCGCACGAAAGGCGUAACGAUCUGGGCGCUGUCUCGGAGAGAGGCUCGGCGAAAUAGAAUUGUCUGUGAAGAUGCGGACUACGUGCACCCGGACAGAAAGACCCUAUGAAGCUUUACUGUAGCUUGGUAUUGUGCCCGGGCUCUGAAUGCGCAGGAUAGGUGGGAGGCUUUGAUCCAUGGCUUGCGGGUCAUGGUGAGCCAACGGUGAGAUACCACUCUUUCAGAGCUAGGGUUCUAACGGUCACCCGUCAUCCGGGGACCGGACAGUAUCAGGUGGGCAGUUUGACUGGGGCGGUCGCCUCCUAAAAGGUAACGGAGGCGCGCAAAGGUUUGCUCAGGCUGGUUGGAAAUCAGCCGACGAGUGCAAAAGCAGAAGCAUGCUUGACUGUGAGACCUACAAGUCGAACAGGGACGAAAGUCGGCUUUAGUGAUCCGACGGUUCUGAGUGGAAGGGCCGUCGCUCAACGGAUAAAAGUUACUCUAAGGAUAACAGGCUGAUCUCCCCCAAGAGUUCACAUCGACGGGGAGGUUUGGCACCUCGAUGUCGGCUCAUCGCAACCUGGGGCUGAAGUCGGUCCCAAGGGUUGGGCUGUUCGCCCAUUAAAGCGGUACGCGAGCUGGGUUCAGAACGUCGUGAGACAGUUCGGUCCAUAUCCGGUGCACGCGCAGGAACAUUGAGAGGAUUUCUCCCUAGUACGAGAGGACCGGGAGGAACGCACCUCUGGUGUGCCAGUUAUCGUGCCAACGGUAAACGCUGGGUAGCCAUGUGCGGAGUGGAUAACCGCUGAAAGCAUCUAAGUGGGAAGCCCACCUCAAGAUGAGUGUUCCCAUGGCAUAAGCCAGUAAGGUCACGGGAAGAACACCCGUUGAUAGGCUCUACGUGGAAGCCGGGUAACCGGUGAAGCGGAGGAGUACUAAUAGACCGAGGGCUUGACC
rnacentral:rRNA from 1 species